CGUGAGAUGUUGGGUUAAGUCCCGCAACGAGCGCAACCCCUAUUGUUAGUUGCUACGCAAGAGCACUCUAGCGAGACUGCCGUUGACAAAACGGAGGAAGGUGGGGACGACGUCAAAUCAUCAUGCCCCUUAUAUCCUGGGCUACACACGUAAUACAAUGGCGGUCAACAGAGGGAAGCAAAGCCGCGAGGCAGAGCAAACCCCCAAAAGCCGUCCCAGUUCGGAUCGUAGGCUGCAACUCGCCUGCGUGAAGUCGGAUC
rnacentral:rRNA from 1 species